rnacentral:rRNA from 1 species
CCCUUAGAUGUUCUGGGCCGCACACGCGCUACACUGAAGGAGGCAGCGUGUACUCCUGGAUCGAAAGAUUUGGGUAACCCGCGAAUCUCCUUCGUGCUAGGGAUUGAGGUUUGCAAUUAUCCUCCAUGAACGAGGAAUUCCCAGUAAGUGCAAGUCAUAAGCUUGCGCUGACUACGUCCCUGCCCUUUGUACACACCGCCCGUCGCUACUACCGAUUGAAUGAUUUAGUGAGGACUUCGGACUGGGACCGAUGCGGCUUUCGGGCUGCGUCGGUAUUCUGGAAAGAUGUCCAAACUGUAUCAUUUAGAGGAAGUAAAANUCGUANCA